GUGAUCUUGGCCGAGUGGUUAAGGCGACACAAUAUUGAUUCAUGUUUCAAUGGAUUGUACGGCAAUCAAACUCGUUAGCAUAAGCUUCGUAGGUUCGAAUCCUACAGAUCAUC
rfam:Naegleria gruberi genomic scaffold NAEGRscaffold_6, whole genome shotgun sequence.